AAAAAGAUAAACCCUGAGUUUCUAUGUCCAACGUUUGACUAUCCGUCUUAUAUGAUAUGAAAUUUUUUUUAUAAAUGUAUUUUCAUUGUUGUUAGAUGAUAAAAUAUAAUUAAUACUUUAUACGUGAUUUGUCUUUAUAAUUUUUUUCGUAAUUUUUUUAAAUAAGAUGAACGGUCAAACGUUAGACACGGAAAUUCAGGGUUUGUCUUUUU
rfam:Oryza glumipatula chromosome 8, whole genome shotgun sequence.